CACUAUCGUUAACUGAAUACAUAGGUUAACGAGGCGAACCGGGGGAACUGAAACAUCUAAGUACCCCGAGGAAAAGAAAUCAACCGAGAUUCCCCCAGUAGCGGCGAGCGAACGGGGAGCAGCCCGGAGUCUGAAUCAGCUUGUGUGUUAGUGGAACGGUCUGGAAAGUCCGACGGUACAGGGUGAUAGUCCCGUACACGAAAGCACACAUGCUGUGAACUCGAAGAGUAGGGCGGGACACGUGGUAUCCUGUCUGAAUAUGGGGGGACCAUCCUCCAAGGCUAAAUACUCCUGACUGACCGAUAGUGAACCAGUACCGUGAGGGAAAGGCGAAAAGAACCCCGGCGAGGGGAGUGAAAAAGAACCUGAAACCGUGUACGUACAAGCAGUGGGAGCCUCUUUAUGGGGUGACUGCGUACCUUUUGUAUAAUGGGUCAGCGACUUAUAUUCUGUAGCAAGGUUAACCGUAUAGGGGAGCCGAAGGGAAACCGAGUCUUAACUGGGCGUUAAGUUGCAGGGUAUAGACCCGAAACCCGGUGAUCUAGCCAUGGGCAGGUUGAAGGUUGGGUAACACUAACUGGAGGACCGAACCGACUAAUGUUGAAAAAUUAGCGGAUGACCUGUGGCUGGGGGUGAAAGGCCAAUCAAACCGGGAGAUAGCUGGUUCUCCCCGAAAGCUAUUUAGGUAGCGCCUCGUGAACUCAUCUUCGGGGGUAGAGCACUGUUUCGGCUAGGGGGCCAUCCCGGCUUACCAACCCGAUGCAAACUACGAAUACCGAAGAAUGUUAUCACGGGAGACACACGGCGGGUGCUAACGUCCGUCGUGAAGAGGGAAACAACCCAGACCGCCAGCUAAGGUCCCAAAGUCAUGGUUAAGUGGGAAACGAUGUGGGAAGGCACAGACAGCCAGGAUGUUGGCUUAGAAGCAGCCAUCAUUUAAAGAAAGCGUAAUAGCUCACUGGUCGAGUCGGCCUGCGCGGAAGAUGUAACGGGGCUAAACCAUGCACCGAAGCUGCGGCAGCGACNNNNUGCUGGAGGUAUCAGAAGUGCGAAUGCUGACAUAAGUAACGAUAAAGCGGGUGAAAAGCCCGCUCGCCGGAAGACCAAGGGUUCCUGUCCAACGUUAAUCGGGGCAGGGUGAGUCGACCCCUAAGGCGAGGCCGAAAGGCGUAGUCGAUGGGAAACAGGUUAAUAUUCCUGUACUUGGUGUUACUGCGAAGGGGGGACGGAGAAGGCUAUGUCAGCCGGGCGACGGUUGUCCCGGUUUAAGCAUGUAGGCGGAGGUUCCAGGUAAAUCCGGUACCUUAUUAACGCUGAGGUGUGAUGACGAGGCACUACGGUGCUGAAGUGAUAAAUGCCCUGCUUCCAGGAAAAGCCUCUAAGCAUCAGGUAACACGAAAUCGUACCCCAAACCGACACAGGUGGUCAGGUAGAGAAUACCAAGGCGCUUGAGAGAACUCGGGUGAAGGAACUAGGCAAAAUGGUGCCGUAACUUCGGGAGAAGGCACGCUGAUGUGUAGGUGAAGCCCCUGCGGGUGGAGCUGAAAUCAGUCGAAGAUACCAGCUGGCUGCAACUGUUUAUUAAAAACACAGCACUGUGCAAACACGAAAGUGGACGUAUACGGUGUGACGCCUGCCCGGUGCCGGAAGGUUAAUUGAUGGGGUUAGCGGCAACGCGAAGCUCUUGAUCGAAGCCCCGGUAAACGGCGGCCGUAACUAUAACGGUCCUAAGGUAGCGAAAUUCCUUGUCGGGUAAGUUCCGACCUGCACGAAUGGCGUAAUGAUGGCCAGGCUGUCUCCACCCGAGACUCAGUGAAAUUGAACUCGCUGUGAAGAUGCAGUGUACCCGCGGCAAGACGGAAAGACCCCGUGAACCUUUACUAUAGCUUGACACUGAACACUGGUCCUUGAUGUGUAGGAUAGGUGGGAGGCUUUGAAGCGUGGACGCCAGUCUGCGUGGAGCCAACCUUGAAAUACCACCCUUUAAUGGCUGGUGUUCUAACGUAGACCCGUUACCCGGGUUGCGGACAGUGUCUGGUGGGUAGUUUGACUGGGGCGGUCUCCUCCCAAAGAGUAACGGAGGAGCACGAAGGUUGGCUAAUCCUGGUCGGACAUCAGGAGGUUAGUGCAAUGGCAUAAGCCAGCUUGACUGCGAGCGUGACGGCGCGAGCAGGUGCGAAAGCAGGUCAUAGUGAUCCGGUGGUUCUGAAUGGAAGGGCCAUCGCUCAACGGAUAAAAGGUACUCCGGGGAUAACAGGCUGAUACCGCCCAAGAGUUCAUAUCGACGGCGGUGUUUGGCACCUCGAUGUCGGCUCAUCACAUCCUGGGGCUGAAGUAGGUCCCAAGGGUAUGGCUGUUCGCCAUUUAAAGUGGUACGCGAGCUGGGUUUAGAACGUCGUGAGACAGUUCGGUCCCUAUCUGCCGUGGGCGCUGGAGAAUUGAGGGGGGCUGCUCCUAGUACGAGAGGACCGGAGUGGACGCAUCACUGGUGUUCGGGUUGUCAUGCCAAUGGCACUGCCCGGUAGCUAAAUGCGGAAGAGAUAAGUGCUGAAAGCAUCUAAGCACGAAACUUGCCCCGAGAUGAGUUCUCCCUGAGACUUUAAGUCUCCUGAAGGAACGUUGAAGACGACGACGUUGAUAGGUCGGGUGUGUAAGCGCAGCGAUGCGUUGAGCUAACCGAUACUAAUGAACCGUGAGGCUUAACCUU
rnacentral:rRNA from 1 species